rnacentral:rRNA from 1 species
UACGAGAGGCCCAAACGUUAUUCGGAUUUACUGGGCUUAAAGAGUUCGUAGGCGGCGCGGAAAGUAGGGUGUGAAAGCCCUCGGCUCAACCGAGGAAUUGCGCUCUAAACUGUCGCGCUCGAGGAACCUAGAGGUGAGCAGAACUGAUGGUGGAGCGGUGAAAUGCGUUGAUAUCUGGAGGAACACCGGUGGCGAAGGCGGCGUUCUGGACGGUGACUGACGCUGAGACGCGAAAGCGUGGGGAGCAAACAGG